GAUGAACGCUGGCGGCGUGCCUAAUACAUGCAAGUCGAGAGAACAGACGAGGAGCUUGCUCCUCUGACGUUAGCGGCGGACGGGUGAGUAACACGUGGAUAACCUACCUAUAAGACUGGGAUAACUUCGGGAAACCGGAGCUAAUACCGGAUAAUAUAUUGAACCGCAUGGUUCAAUAGUGAAAGACGGUUUUGCUGUCACUUAUAGAUGGAUCCGCGCCGCAUUAGCUAGUUGGUAAGGUAACGGCUUACCAAGGCGACGAUGCGUAGCCGACCUGAGAGGGUGAUCGGCCACACUGGAACUGAGACACGGUCCAGACUCCUACGGGAGGCAGCAGUAGGGAAUCUUCCGCAAUGGGCGAAAGCCUGACGGAGCAACGCCGCGUGAGUGAUGAAGGUCUUCGGAUCGUAAAACUCUGUUAUUAGGGAAGAACAAAUGUGUAAGUAACUAUGCACGUCUUGACGGUACCUAAUCAGAAAGCCACGGCUAACUACGUG
rnacentral:rRNA from 1 species